UACGUAGGGUGCAAGCGUUGUCCGGAAUUAUUGGGCGUAAAGAGCUCGUAGGCGGUUUGUCGCGUCCGCUGUGAAAACCCGAGGCUCAACCUCGGGCCUGCAGUGGGUACGGGCAGACUAGAGUGCGGUAGGGGAGAUUGGAAUUCCUGGUGUAGCGGUGGAAUGCGCAGAUAUCAGGAGGAACACCGGUGGCGAAGGCGGGUCUCUGGGCAGUAACUGACGCUGAGGAGCGAAAGCGUGGGGAGCGAACAGG
rnacentral:rRNA from 1 species